CCCUAGUAACGGCGAGUGAAGCGGGAAGAGCUCAAAUUUGAAAUCUGGCGGUCUACGGCCGUCCGAGUUGUAAUCUAGAGAGGUGUUUUCCGUGCCGGACCGUGUACAAGUCCCUUGGAACAGGGCGUCAUAGAGGGUGAGAAUCCCGUCCAUGACACGGACUACCGGUGCUCUGUGAUACACCUUCAAAGAGUCGAGUUGUUUGGGAAUGCAGCUCAAAAUGGGUGGUAAAUUCCAUCUAAAGCUAAAUACAGGCGAGAGACCGAUAGCGAACAAGUACCGUGAGGGAAAGAUGAAAAGAACUUUGGAAAGAGAGUUAAACAGUACGUGAAAUUGUUGAAAGGGAAACGCUUGAAGUCAGUCGCGUCUGCCAGGACUCAGCCUUGCUUCUGCAUGGUGCAUUUCCUGGUGGAUGGGCCAGCAUCGAUUUUGGUCGCCGGACAAGGGCGGGAGGAAUGUGGCAGCUUGCUGUGUUAUAGCCUCCCGUCGUACACGGUGGUUGGGAUCGAGGACUGCAGCACGCCUUUGGUCGGGGUUCGCCCACGCCACGUGCUUAGGAUGCUGGCAUAAUGGCUUUAAACGACCCGUCUUGAAACACGGACCAAGGAGUCUAACAUGCCUGCGAGUGUUUGGGCGUUAAACCCAGGCGCGUAAUGAAAGUGAAAAGUUGGGACUCUUUAGUGAGGCACCGACGCCCGAUCCUGACGUUCUCUGACGGAUUUGAGGUAGAGCAUGUAUGUUGGGACCCGAAAGAUGGUGAACUAUGCCUGAAUAGGGUGAAGCCAGAGGAAACUCUGGUGGAGGCUCGUAGCGAUUCUGACGUGCAAAUCGAUCGUCAAAUUUGGGUAUAGGGGCGAAAGACUAAUCGA
rnacentral:rRNA from 1 species